CCCUUAGACGUUCUGGGCCGCACGCGCGCUACACUGACGAAGGCAACGAGCUUUCCUUUACCGAAAGGUACGGGUAAUCUUUUGAAACUUCUUCGUGCUGGGGAUAGAUCCUUGCAAUUUUUGAUCUUAAACGAGGAAUGCCUAGUAAGCGCAAGUCAUCAACUUGCGUUGAUUACGUCCCUGCCCUUUGUACACACCGCCCGUCGCUACUACCGAUUGAAUGGUUUAGUGAGGCCUUCGGAUCCGCGACUCGUUUUGUGGAGAAGUUGGACAAACUCAGUCAUUUAGAGGAAGUAAAAGUCGUAACA
rnacentral:rRNA from 1 species